CUACGGAGGGUGCAAGCGUUACUGGGAAUCACUGGGCGUAAAGCGCGCGCAGGCGGCUAUUUAAGUUGGAUGUGAAAGCCUACGGCUCAACCGUAGAACUGCAUCCAAAACUAUUUAGCUAGAGUGUGGGAGAGGAAGAUGGAAUUAGUUGUGUAGGGGUAAAAUCCGUAGAGAUAACUAGGAAUACCAAAAGCGAAGGCAAUCUUCUGGAACACUACUGACGCUGAGGCGCGAAAGCGUGGGGAGCAAACAGGAUUAGAAACCCUAGUAGUCC
rnacentral:rRNA from 1 species